CUUCGUUUGAAGGCUCACUACAGAGAGCUAAUGAGAACUGAAAGACACAGUAUUGCUGCUGCCGCUGCUGGUAUUAUUUCUGCGAGAUGACGUCUGUGACAACUGUCCCGCUGCUACUGUCAUCACUAACCGAACACAUUAACUACGUUGAAUAAGGGCCACCCUCAUGUCGGGCACUGUGAUGGCGCUCCGUGUGGGUUACAGCCUGUAGUCCUCACAGCAAACCUUUGAGCCAGACUUUAGUGAGAGCCGUCAGGUGAUGUCUGCGGCUGCUGGCGUGAGAGGUGCUGUCGCCGGGCAGCAGGCCAGGGCCUGCCCUGCACGCAGGGGCACCUGACAGUGAGGGGCGCCAGUCCCGCCCUGCGACGCCGUCUGAAUCACCACCGGAGGCAUUCUGUCAUUCAUGAUUAACUGAAAGCAAA